UAAGGAAUAUUGGUCAAUGGAGGGAACUCUGAACCAGCCAUGCCGCGUGAAGGAUGACGGCCCUCUGGGUUGUAAACUUCUUUUGGAUGGGGCGAAAAAACGGGAUUUAUCCUGGACUGACGGUACCAUCAGAAUAAGCACCGGCUAACUCCGUGCCAGCAGCCGCGGUAAUACGGAGGGUGCAAGCGUUAUCCGGAAUCACUGGGCGUAAAGCGCAUGUAGGCGGCUGUACAAGUCGUGUGUUAAAGCCCUUGGCUCAACUGGGGGAGGUCAUGCGAGACUGUGCGGCUAGAGGGCAGGAGAGGCACGUGGAACUCCCGGUGUAGCGGUGGAAUGCGUAGAGAUCGGGAAGAACAUCAGUGGCGAAGGCGACGUGCUGGGCUGCACCUGACGCUGAGAUGCGAAAGUGUGGGGAGCAAACGGGAUUAGAUACCCCAGUAGUCCCUGAGCGGGCUGGCAAGGCGCAU
rnacentral:rRNA from 1 species